CUAAUGUUCUCUCUUUUCAGGUGGUGUAGAAGUCAUAGAUCUCACAGGUGACUCUUCUGAGCCUGAAGUCAUCACUAUCAGUGAUGAUGAGUCUCCUGGGGACAGGCAGCAGAGCCAGCAGCAGCCACAUCUUUCCAGAGCAUCAGAGAAUUCAGCUGAGCCACUGGCAAGGAAUGAUGAAGAUGAUGAAGAGGAACCAGGAGAUAGUGGCUCAUGGUCAGCACGUCCUGCUAGUCCUCUACGAGGGAGGGUGACAACUCACAGGUGCAGGACAAGGAGCAGAGCCAGCAGCACCCACAUGGCUCCAGUGACACAGAGAAUUCAGCAGAGCUAUGGGCGAGUAACCACGAAGAGGAACCAAGAGAUAACGAUGAUUCUAUUAACUCUGAUGAAUGGCCAGAUCGUUUUGAGAGUCCUCCGACAUGGCAGGAUGACAUUACAGAUCUUCUUGAAGUGCAUGGACAGGAAAGAAGAAAUGUUACACUGAGCAGCCAGGAAGAGGUGGAUGGCUCUGGUAAUGGAACAGGAGCUAAUGAUGCACCUGUGGCUGACUCAGCCCCUGCAGAACAGGGAGCAGAGGAGGAGGACACUCAAAGUUCAGAGUAUGUAUGCCUCAUGCCCCACCACACACAGAAUUCUGUGCCUUUCUUUCUUUUCUGUGUAGGACUUAGUAAUACUGCUAUGCCUGAUUUAUCUUUGACAGCUUCCCUACUCUACAUAUUUCCCUCCUUCUCCCACGUUGCAGGAUGAUCACAUGAUACCAUUUGAAUUUUGGGAGAUAAAAGCAGCCCAAAGCAGAUGUACAUCUUUGCAUAGAGCCUUAGAGACGAGUGUGGGAGUAUGGCAAGGAAUGGGGAUUUGUCGCAGGCCAUAGCUCAGUAUUGCAUUUGCUUUUUCUGACAAGCUGUAGUAGUGAUAUUAGAUAUGGAAAUGCUUCCAUUGUAAUUACUGGGGCUUGGCAUCACGGGGCCAACAGGAACAGCUGGGCAAAUUCCAACAAAAAUUCCCUGCUGGAACGGUGCCAGCUGGUUGCCUUUCUCCUGGAGCUGGAGCCCUUCUUCCCAAGGUAGACUUGUACACAGGCAGCUGUGGAGUUCAUGCUUUUAUGGCCAGUGCUGGAUGUCACAAGCCCUGAUUUGCUUGCUUCUGUGAUGGAAAUCUUGCAGUUCAAGUUGGGUGCCUGCGCAGUAAAAUUCCCAUUCUGCAGAGGAACAGGAAAGUGCUGCUGUAGGAGCACUCCAUCAGGAUAAGAAAGAUACAGUUCAUUGGACUGAUUAAUUUUAACCAAGUGUCUUUGUCACUAGGGAUGACAAAGAACAUAAGAAUUAUGGUAUAAGGUUUUCAAAGUGUUUUUUUGGGGUGGGGGGAAAGACACAGGUUUUAAUAAAGCUGGUGUGCUUUGAGCCUUUUGGAAAGGCAAUGUAGGAGACAACUUGAGUAUGGAACUUUUAGGUGUCAGGCCUUAAAUAUGCCGCCUAAAGGGCUUCUACAAUUCUAAACCAUAAUGCAGCCCUUCCCAGGGCUGGAUCUUGCCAGAACUGUGUUACUCUGUAGUUGAAAGUUGGGUCCUGGAAUGAAUAUUCUGGUGUGAAUAAUUCCCAGAGGACAGCUGAUGCUGUAGUUACAAAGCUGUUACUGAUGACCUACUGGAAGUCAAAGUUGCCAUACACAAACUGGCCAGUGCUAAAGACUGCUGCUACUUCAAAGCCCAGAGCAGGGUGACUGACUGCACCUUUCUCCUAGUGAAAACCAGGACACCCUUUCCCUCAGGGCAGGGGAGACCCCAAAUCCUCAUUAAAUGCAGCAAAGAGAGACUUCAAGACAGCAGGGUUCUUCAAAGGAAAUGUGUCAUGGCUAGUCAGUGCAGUUGUAUGAAUAGGUGAGAUUUUAUACAUCAAUAAGUACUGAAGUGUGGUUAUAUGAACAGCUGCAUGUUCUUUCUAGUUCUGUUUCCUCUAGUGCGCAGCAAGGAGCUGUUAUUAGGUGUCCGCUUUGCAUGGAAUUUUACUCAGAGAUGAUGCAACAUGGACAACAGCUUGUGGCAACCCUAUGUGGCCAUGUCUUCUGCAGUAGAUGCCUCCCUAUUGCCCUUGGGGUUGCUCACAUAUGCCCAACCUGCAGGGUGAAACUCAAUGCAGCAGUAUAUUUUCCCAUUUAUUUAUGAGUGCUUCUCAGGACAGACUGAGAUGGAUCUUGGCCAAUAGGCAGUGUAGAGACUUGUUUCUUUAUUUAUAUAGUUCUUCCUGUGUAACUUUCAUUUUUGCUGGAUUCAAUUAUAAAUAAAGUUUGGAUUGAUUUAAA